AGCAGUGGGAGCACAGAGCAAUCUGUGUGACUGCGUACCUUUUGUAUAAUGGGUCAGCGACUUAUAUUCUGUAGCAAGGUUAACCGAAUAGGGGAGCCGAAGGGAAACCGAGUCUUAACUGGGCGUUAAGUUGCAGGGUAUAGACCCGAAACCCGGUGAUCUAGCCAUGGGCAGGUUGAAGGUUGGGUAACACUAACUGGAGGACCGAACCGACUAAUGUUGAAAAAUUAGCGGAUGACUUGUGGCUGGGGGUGAAAGGCCAAUCAAACCGGGAGAUAGCUGGUUCUCCCCGAAAGCUAUUUAGGUAGCGCCUCGUGAAUUCAUCUCCGGGGGUAGAGCACUGUUUCGGCAAGGGGGUCAUCCCGACUUACCAACCCGAUGCAAACUGCGAAUACCGGAGAAUGUUAUCACGGGAGACACACGGCGGGUGCUAACGUCCGUCGUGAAGAGGGAAACAACCCAGACCGCCAGCUAAGGUCCCAAAGUCAUGGUUAAGUGGGAAACGAUGUGGGAAGGCCCAGACAGCCAGGAUGUUGGCUUAGAAGCAGCCAUCAUUUAAAGAAAGCGUAAUAGCUCACUGGUCGAGUCGGCCUGCGCGGAAGAUGUAACGGGGCUAAACCAUGCACCGAAGCUGCGGCAGCGACGCUUAUGCGUUGUUGGGUAGGGGAGCGUUCUGUAAGCCUGCGAAGGUGUGCUGUGAGGCAUGCUGGAGGUAUCAGAAGUGCGAAUGCUGACAUAAGUAACGAUAAAGCGGGUGAAAAGCCCGCUCGCCGGAAGACCAAGGGUUCCUGUCCAACGUUAAUCGGGGCAGGGUGAGUCGACCCCUAAGGCGAGGCCGAAAGGCGUAGUCGAUGGGAAACAGGUUAAUAUUCCUGUACUUGGUGUUACUGCGAAGGGGGGACGGAGAAGGCUAUGUUGGCCGGGCGACGGUUGUCCCGGUUUAAGCGUGUAGGCUGGUUUUCCAGGCAAAUCCGGAAAACUAAGGCUGAGGCGUGAUGACGAGGCACUACGGUGCUGAAGCAACAAAUGCCCUGCUUCCAGGAAAAGCCUCUAAGCAUCAGGUAACAUCAAAUCGUACCCCAAACCGACACAGGUGGUCAGGUAGAGAAUACCAAGGCGCUUGAGAGAACUCGGGUGAAGGAACUAGGCAAAAUGGUGCCGUAACUUCGGGAGAAGGCACGCUGAUAUGUAGGUGAAGCGACUUGCUCGUGGAGCUGAAAUCAGUCGAAGAUACCAGCUGGCUGCAACUGUUAUAAAAAACACAGCACUGUGACAAACACGAAAGUGGACGUAUACGGUGUGACGCCUGCCCGGUGCCGGAAGGUUAAUUGAUGGGGUCAGCGCAAGCGAAGCUCUUGAUCGAAGCCCCGGUAAACGGCGGCCGUAACUAUAACGGUCCUAAGGUAGCGAAAUUCCUUGUCGGGUAAGUUCCGACCUGCACGAAUGGCGUAAUGAUGGCCAGGCUGUCUCCACCCGAGACUCAGUGAAAUUGAACUCGCUGUGAAGAUGCAGUGUACCCGCGGCAAGACGGAAAGACCCCGUGAACCUUUACUAUAGCUUGACACUGAACAUUGAGCCUUGAUGUGUAGGAUAGGUGGGAGGCUUGGAAGUGUGGACGCCAGUCUGCAUGGAGCCGACCUUGAAAUACCACCCUUUAAUGUUUGAUGUUCUAACGUUGACCCGUAAUCCGGGUUGCGGACAGUGUCUGGUGGGUAGUUUGACUGGGGCGGUCUCCUCCUAAAGAGUAACGGAGGAGCACGAAGGUUGGCUAAUCCUGGUCGGACAUCAGGAGGUUAGUGCAAUGGCAUAAGCCAGCUUGACUGCGAGCGUGACGGCGCGAGCAGGUGCGAAAGCAGGUCAUAGUGAUCCGGUGGUUCUGAAUGGAAGGGCCAUCGCUCAACGGAUAAAAGGUACUCCGGGGAUAACAGGCUGAUACCGCCCAAGAGUUCAUAUCGACGGCGGUGUUUGGCACCUCGAUGUCGGCUCAUCACAUCCUGGGGCUGAAGUAGGUCCCAAGGGUAUGGCUGUUCGCCAUUUAAAGUGGUACGCGAGCUGGGUUUAGAACGUCGUGAGACAGUUCGGUCCCUAUCUGCCGUGGGCGCUGGAGAACUGAGGGGGGCUGCUCCUAGUACGAGAGGACCGGAGUGGACGCAUCACUGGUGUUCGGGUUGUCAUGCCAAUGGCACUGCCCGGUAGCUAAAUGCGGAAGAGAUAAGUGCUGAAAGCAUCUAAGCACGAAACUUGCCCCGAGAUGAGUUCUCCCUGACUCCUUGAGAGUCCUGAAGGAACGUUGAAGACGACGACGUUGAUAGGCCGGGUGUGUAAGCGCAGCGAUGCGUUGAGCUAACCGGUACUAAUGAACCGUGAGGCUUAACCUU
rnacentral:rRNA from 1 species